rnacentral:rRNA from 1 species
AGAGUUUGAUCAUGGCUCAGAUUGAACGCUGGCGGCAUGCCUUACACAUGCAAGUCGAACGGUAACGCGGGGCAACCUGGCGACGAGUGGCGAACGGGUGAGUAAUACAUCGGAACGUGCCCAGUAGUGGGGGAUAGCCCGGCGAAAGCCGGAUUAAUACCGCAUACGACCUACGGGUGAAAGCAGGGGAUCGCAAGACCUUGCGCUAUUGGAGCGGCCGAUGUCAGAUUAGGUAGUUGGUGGGGUAAAAGCCUACCAAGCCUACGAUCUGUAGCUGGUCUGAGAGGACGACCAGCCACACUGGGACUGAGACACGGCCCAGACUCCUACGGGAGGCAGCAGUGGGGAAUAUUGGACAAUGGGCGAAAGCCUGAUCCAGCAAUGCCGCGUGAGUGAUGAAGGCCCUAGGGUUGUAAAGCUCUUUUACCCGGGAAGAUAAUGACUGUACCGGGAGAAUAAGCCCCGGCUAACUCCGUGCCAGCCGCCGCGGUAAUAC